rnacentral:tRNA from 1 species
GGGCGAGUAGCUCAGCGGAAGAGCGCCUCCCUUACACGGAGGAGGUCGGGGGUUCAAGACCCUCCUCGCCCACCA